rnacentral:tRNA from 1 species
CGGGGAGUAGCGCAGUCUGGCAGCGCAUCUGCCUUGGGAGCAGAGGGUCGCUGGUUCGAAUCCAGUCUCCCCGACCA